rnacentral:lncRNA from 10 species
GUGCAUGCUUUUUUUUUUUUUGAGAUGGAGUCUCGCUCUGUCGCCCAGGCUGGAGUGCAGUGGCGCAUCUCAGCUCACUGCAAGCUCCGCCUCCUGGGACUACAGGCGCCCGCCACCACGCCCGUCUAAUUUUUUGUAUUAGUAGAGACGGGGUUUCACCAUAUUAGCCAGGAUGGUCUCGGUCUCCUGACCUCGUGAUCCGCCCGCCUCGGCCUCCCAAAGUGCUGGGUGUGCAUACUCAAUCUAUCUGCAGGAGCGGUUUGCUCGGCUUCACCCAGCGUGUCUGGCACCCAGAUACAUGGCUUCAGAUCCAUUGUCCUCUCUACAUCACUCUGUGCCUCCAGGUCUGCAUCUGGAGCAUGAACAUUGGCUAUGGCAUUGUCUCCUGCCAGGCCAAAUCUGCAGGCCAGGAAAACUCUGGUAUUAGCUUUACUCUUUGCUGAACGAGAAAUUCGCGUUUUUCCACAUAGCCUGGACUUAUUUGGGGCAGGAAUAAUGCUUAUUAGGUUGGCAACCCUAAAAAGCACUGGUAUUUUCUCCAUUUUACAGAUGACGAAACAGGUUAAGUAACUUGCCCAAGGUUCCUUAGCAAAGCCAGUCUCUGAAUACGGGCAGCCUGGCUUUAGAACUCUCACCCUUAACAACCCGGGACUGCCCAGGCACCAUACCGCAAAGGUGUUGUGCCGCAAGAUGCAAGGAGGAAGCUGGACAUACCUUCUUGGGCCACAUGGUUACUCCUGGUGACCACUGCAACUGAAUUGGUUGUAGUCUUCUAGACCAGUGGUCCCCAGCCUUUUUGGCACCAGGAAUUGGUUUCGUGGAAGACAAUUUUUCUUGUCUUCCACGGAGGUGGGGGUGGUUUUGGUAUGAAACUCUUUUACCUCACAUCAGCAGGCAUUAGAUUCUCAUUAGGAGCGCGCAACCUAGAUCUCUUGCAAGUCCAGUUCACAAUAGGGUUCACGCUCCUGUGAGAAUCUAAUGCUCCCGCUGAUCCUAAUGCCCCCGCUGAUCUGAGGGGGCAGAAUGCUCGGCGGUAAUGCUUAUCCGCCCUCUGCUCACCUCCUGCUAUGCGGUACCGGUCCCCUGUUCUAGCCAUCCGUGGUGGAUGUGGUAACAAGAUUCGUUUUCCCUGGAGUGAGCAGCGGCCACUUCAUUUAGGAGGGAGAUCUUGGGAACCUACACUCCUAAAAAGGGGAGGUCCCUAGAGCUUUAUUCCCCUGAGUGGUGGCCCUGAUCCUGAGCAAGCUCAUCUGCUUUACUGGGCUUUCUCUCCACAAUCCCUUUAUUCAAACCUGUGAAAAGGCAGCUUUCAUCCCAUUUCUUUUUUCUUUUUUUUUUGAGACAGAGUCUCGCUCUGUCACCCAGGCUGGAGUGCAGUGGUGUGAUCUCGGCUCACUGCAACCUCUGCCUCCCGGGUUCAAGCGAUUCUCCUGCCUCAGCCUGCUGAGUAGCUGGAAUUACAGGUGCCUGCCACCACACCCGGCUAAUUUUUUUUUUUGUAUCUUUAGUAGACAUGGGGUUUCACCAUAUUGGUCAGGCUAGUCUUGAACUCCUGACCUCGUGAUCCGCCCGCUUCGGCCUCCAAAAGUGCUGGGAUUACAGGUGUGAGCUACUGUGCCCGGCCUGCUUUCA